rnacentral:tRNA from 1 species
GUUAAUGUAGCUUAACUGACAAAGCAAGGCACUGAAAAUGCCUAGAUGAGUGAUUUCCCCAACUCCAUAAACA